GGUCCCGUAGCUCAGCUGGAUAGAGCAACAGCCUUCUAAGCUGUGGGUCUUGGGUUCGAGUCCCAACGGGAUCA
rnacentral:tRNA from 1 species